AACGAACGCUGGCGGCAUGCCUAACACAUGCAAGUCGAACGACACCUUCGGGUCUAGUGGCGCACUGGUGCGUAACGCGGGGGAACCUGCCCUUAGGUUCGGAAUAACUCCCCGAAAGGGGUGCUAAUACCGGAUAAUGUCUUCGGACCACAGAUUUAUCGCCUUUGGAUGGGCCCGCGUUGGAUUAGCUAGUUGGUAGGGUAAAAGCCUACCAAGGCGACGAUCCAUAGCUGGUCUGAGAGGAUGAUCAGCCACACUGGGACUGAGACACGGCCCAGACUCCUACGGGAGGCAGCAGUGGGGAAUAUUGGACAAUGGGCGAAAGCCUGAUCCAGCAAUGCCGCGUGAGUGAUGAAGGCCUUAGGGUUGUAAAGCUCUUUUACCCGGGAUGAUAAUGACAGUACCGGGAGAAUAAGCUCCGGCUAACUCCGUG
rnacentral:rRNA from 1 species